rnacentral:sRNA from 1 species
UCAGCCGGGCUGUGUGGGCCUCAGGGCUGGGAGCCCACCCGUCCACGUGGGUGGUUUGGGGCAGGUAUGGCACCCGCCUGACCAACACUCUCCCCAUCACAGUCGCCGGACUUUGCUGAGGAGUUGAGGUCCCUGGAACCAUCUCCCAGCCCUGGUGAGUGGGGGCCGGGCUGGGGUGAGCUCCCAGGAGCCCAGGUGCCCUCAGCUCACUGCCCACCUGUCCCUGCCCGCCAGGCCCGCAGGAGGAGGAUGGAGAAGUGGCUCUGGUGCUUCUGGGCAGGCCCUCACCCGGCGCCGUGGGCCCUGAAGAUGUGGCGCUGUGCAGCAGCCGCCGCCCCGUAAGGCGCCGUGGUCUGGGCCCUGUGCCCUCCUAGAGGAGCAGGCGCCUCCCCCAGACUUGGGGUGGGGGCCCUGCCAGCUCCAGCACCACCCUUGCCCCAAGUCUUUUAACCUGGGUGUUAGCAUUUUAAAGAGACCCCACAGGAGUUCUGGCCUCUGACUAACUGCCCCACCCCAGCCGAGACCUCGGCGAGACUGUAACUAGUGAUGUUUGUACAACCAAAGACUCUAUUUUGUGGUUUAAGGAAAAUAAAGUUGACUACAUUUUA